UACGUAGGGGGCAAGCGUUGUCCGGAAUCAUUGGGCGUAAAGAGCGCGUAGGCGGCCCGGUAAGUCCGCUGUGAAAGUCGGGGGCUCAACCCUCGAAUGCCGGUGGAUACUGUCGGGCUAGAGUGCGGAAGAGGCGAGUGGAAUUCCUGGUGUAGCGGUGAAAUGCGCAGAUAUCAGGAGGAACACCAAUUGCGAAGGCAGCUCGCUGGGACGUAACUGACGCUGAGACGCGAAAGCGUGGGGAGCAAACAGG
rnacentral:rRNA from 1 species